GUGACCAGCGGAGGGUCAUUACCGAGUUUUCAACUCCCUAACCCUUCUGUGAACCUACCUAUCGUUGCUUCGGCGGACUCGCCCCAGCCCGGACGCGGACUGGACCAGCGGCCCGCCGGGGACCUCAAACUCUUGUAUUCCAGCAUCUUCUGAAUACGCCGCAAGGCAAAACAAAUGAAUCAAAACUUUCAACAACGGAUCUCUUGGCUCUGGCAUCGAUGAAGAACGCAGCGAAACGCGAUAAGUAAUGUGAAUUGCAGAAUCCAGUGAAUCAUCGAAUCUUUGAACGCACAUUGCGCCCGCCAGCAUUCUGGCGGGCAUGCCUGUUCGAGCGUCAUUUCAACCCUCGACCUCCCCUUGGGGAGGUCGGCGUUGGGGACCGGCAGCACACCGCCGGCCCUGAAAUGGAGUGGCGGCCCGUCCGCGGUGACCUCUGCGCAGUAAUACAGCUCGCACCGGGACCCCGACGCGGCCACGCCGUAAAACACCCAACUUCUGAACGUUGACCUCGAAUCAGGUAGGACUACCCGCUGAACUUAAGCAUAUCAAUAAGCGGAGGA
rnacentral:rRNA from 1 species